CAUCAUUGUAGCAGAUCAAACCCUGGCAUGUAGUUGGAAAGAAUCAUGCAAAGAAAAAACCAGAACAUGUUCAGAAAAACAGUGAUUCUUACUGCUCUUUAACACUAUACAGGUAGCUAAUACAGGUUUUUGAUGUUGACACAUGACAUUUCUUACCACGUGUGUAUUAGUGAUGGCUCAAACCAUGGCAUGUGGUUGGAAAGACACAUUCAAGAUCUGGCCGGAGAGCGGACAUAGAGAUCGCCUGAGAUUGAAUCAAGGGAGCUGCUGCAGAGUCCAUUGACCCAGCAUACGGCAGACUGGAGAAUGUUGCGCUCGAGCCUUGGAAUGGAGAAACCAUCAGACCUAUAGUAUACACAGUUCGUGUUUAUUGAAGAUCGGAUGCUCUUUAUGAAGAUACACCAAGUUGGGCUUCAUACUCUUUCAAUUGAUUUUUGUUCUGUUCGGACCAGGGGCGGACUGGCCAUCUAGAGCACUGAGACAUUUCCCGUUGGACCGCUGGCCAAUGUGGGCCGCCCCACCCGGUACACAAAUAUAUAUAUUUUUUAAUAACAGAAAUCAUAAUAUUACAUCUCUUUUCUACGCAAAUGGAUGAUCGCGCGUGCGCAGUCGCGGCCGACAAGGAGUGUGUUGUUUGCAUGUGAGUAUUUUGCCCUCCCUCCCUGCUUAGUUUGGUCUACUUCAUUGCGUAUCUUGAAACACGCCCCCUUUCACGUCGUCUAAUUUACAGAGAGAGAGAGACAGAUUUAUCCGGUACAGUGAAUUUCUCUGAGCAGCAGGCCACUGUAUACGUUCACUUAAAAUAUAACCAACUGUGUUUACGAGAAUACUUGCAGAGACAAUUAUUUUGAGACUAUUUUGUGUGUAUGUGUUCAAUCAGAAGUUACGAUACGCGAAAGAUGAAUCAGUUCUGUGUACGCGCAUUGUACUGAAAUGCUGCUCUCGGCGCGUGCUUUGAACGAGUAUGUGCAAAUUGUUUAAAACGUUUGAAUCAGCAAGAUUUAGAAACAAGUGCAAACGAUCAACUACGAUCCGUUUCACCCCUUCAAGCGAGUAAACAACACUCAAGUUAGGAACCUUACAUCACUAUUAAAGAUAGCCCGUCGGUCAGGGCGGUGAUAUAUAUUGGAGCCCGACUGGAAAACACAAAAGCCCCGGGAUGUCGAGCUAGCGAUUUUAUGAGCCUUGCACCUCAGAUCUAUCCAGUUUGUGAACCAUUGGUUUCCACACUGGUUUCGUUCAACAAAAUAAAUGAUUAUUUUAAAAGAUUGACUCAAAAGAAUCAUCUCUUCACGAAUCGGAUCAUGAACUUGUAUAACAGAUCCAAAGAUGAUCUAUUAUUGAACAUCUAGAUGGAAUAAAGACUUCAAAUUUAUCUGUAAAGCACAUAAAGCUAUCGUUUGACUUAAAAAAAAAACUUCUAUUUCAUUCAUUGUUCGUAUGGAUCUGUUAACUGAAUGCAAAGUGUGAGUUCUAGGAGAAUGUGUUAUGAUGUGGUGGGCUGCUGUGGGCCAGAAAGUCCAGGGCCACUUUUUGGUCCCAGUCUGCCCCUGGUUCAGACCAUAUACAAGACUAUAUAACCAUACAAUAUAUGCAACCAGUGA